AUUGAACGCUGGCGGCAGGCCUAACACAUGCAAGUCGACCGAGUGGCGGACGGGUGAGUAAUGUCUGGGAAACUGCCUGAUGGAGGGGGAUAACUACUGGAAAAGGUAGCUAAAACCGCAUACCAUCAGAUGUGCCCAGAUGGGAUUAGCCAGUAGGUGGGGUAACGGUUCACCAAGGCGACGAUCCCUAGCUGGUCUGAGAGGAUGACCAGCCACACGUGAACUGAGACACGGUCCAGAAUCCUACGGGGGGCAGAAGUGGGGAAUAUUGCACAAUGGGGGCAAGCCUGAUGCAGCCAUGCCGCGUGUAUGAAGAAGGCCUUCGGGUUGUAAAGUACUUUCAGCGGGGAGGCGUUACCCGCAGAAGAAGCACCGGCUAACUCCGUGCCAGCAGCUGCGGUAAUAC
rnacentral:rRNA from 1 species